rnacentral:rRNA from 1 species
UACAGAGGGGGCAAGCGUUGUUCGGAAUUACUGGGCGUAAAGGGCGCGUAGGCGGCGUGCUAAGUCGAACGUGAAAUCCCCGGGCUCAACCCGGGAACUGCGUCCGAGACUGGCAGGCUUGAAUCCGGGAGAGGGAUGUGGAAUUCCAGGUGUAGCGGUGAAAUGCAUAGAUACCAUAAAGAACACCUAUUGCGAAGGCAGCUUACUAAGCUGUAACUGACGCUGAGGCACGAAAGUGUGGGGAUCAAACAGG